rnacentral:pre_miRNA from 1 species
AUAUUCAUCACCUGGGGUCUUGUUAAAACGUAGAUUCUGAUUUAGUAGGUCUCUGUAGGGCUUAAGACUACUGCAUUUCUAACAAGCUCCCAGGUGAAGCUGAU